CCUACGGGAGGCAGCAGUGGGGAAUAUUGGACAAUGGGCGCAAGCCUGAUCCAGCCAUGCCGCGUGCGUGAAGAAGGCCUUAUGGUUGUAAAGCACUUUAAGCGAGGAGGAGGCUACUUUAGUUAAUACCUAGAGAUAGUGGACGUUACUCGCAGAAUAAGCACCGGCUAACUUCGUGCCAGCAGCCGCGGUAAU
rnacentral:rRNA from 1 species